AGGACCAGCCAGUGUGUCUCCUGAGGAACAGCACCACUGAUGGAGUGUCCUUGCCACAAGAUAAGUUGACUUCACAUUUAAUCAAGCCUCUGGAGCUAACUCCCAUUUAUGAGAAAAAUGGAAAAUAAGAAUAUAAACAUCAUCACAAAAAAUACAGAUAAAUCCAAAAUGUUCUGAUCAUCAAGGAAUAUUCUCCUUCAGCUGAGCAAGUGCGGCUGCUGAGUACAGUUUUCCCCUUAUUGGCACAAGAUCAAGCUAAAAUUGGUUGCUUUGUUGAAGAGCUAUUAGUGUGCUGAACCACAAGUCACUCACUGACAACAGUAAUCAGAGCGGAAUCAAGAAACACGAUGCCAGAUUGGGUCUCAGUCACACUGGUGCCUUAUUUCCCAAGCAUUGGACAAAGAAGAGAUAUUACUUCAAAGUGGAUAAAGAGAAAGGUUUGCAGAAAUAGAAAAACCAUGUGAGAUGUCUUGAUGCAAUUUCUUCAAAUAUUGAAGUCUCAAAUUUAGGAGACAAUAUAAAAGGAAGAAAAGGUGGAAUAUAUUGUGCUGAUUAGGUAACAAAUUGAAAAACCAUGGGGCAUUUCUGCUUUGGAGAAUGAAGCUGUAGCCGUGGGAAAUAAAACCCUAUGUAAAUCACUGAUGAAAUUAAUACAUUUUAAAGGUUAUCAGAGCAAAACUGCUGAAUUCUGUAGUUUGUCAUCAGUAAACUAAAUGCGAAAUCACUAAUUUAAUGUGUAUGAAUUACCAGUUGACUUCUAAUGUAUGGAAUAAUAAGAACUAAUGCUGCUUUAGGA
rnacentral:lncRNA from 1 species